AGUACUUUCAAAAUCACCAGGGUCUGUCAAAGUUGGGUCCUGUGAAAAAUGUACACAGCUAAAUGGAGCAUAUGCUGUCAAUACAGCAGACAGGAUCUAUUACAGUAUCUGAGUGCCCCCUAGCGUAUGUAUCGUUUCUGCCUCAAAUCAACAUUCAAUUCGGAGGAGCCUUCCGACAUGGAAACUGCCUGGGUCUCUCGUCUCUCACAAUGACCAAAGUAACGUGCGCCCAUUUCUAACUGAUUCAUGUUUAAGAAAAUGUCCUCUUAUUGACUUGGACGUCAUCGAGGUAUGCGUGUUGAUGACUGUUUCGCCUCCGUAGGCACAGGGAGUUUUUGUAUUUUACUUUUAAUCAUUGAUUGAUAUAGGCUGAUAAUUGGUCUUGAGCGUAACACUUUCAUUCUAAAGCAAACUGCAUGGUCUAAAUGAUAUCACUGUCUGCAGUUUAUUGUAUUGUUUUAUUGUGGAUUCUACUUGACCACUCCAUUGUUGACAGAUCUGCUCCUGGCUUUCCUGAGUGUCAGACUGCUGAGACAUGAAGAAGACCAUCCUGCUGACUCAGGAUCCACCUCAACACAGAGGUCCCCCUUUGGCCUUCAGCUCAUCAAUUCAAUUAAUAUGUUCAUUUCAAUAAAGCCAAAAUGGAAAAUUAUCAAUUUAAAAGUAAGGCACUUUCCAUUGAAACAAGGGAAACCCCACAUUUGUGUGGUUGAGCCAUGAAUCAUCAUAUGGCAUGUGUGACGAUUGCAUUUAGAGAGUGAUCAGAGACAGUACCAAAGACUGGAAACAUCCUAUACUCGGCACUAGAUUUAAUGAGUGCUGAGUUGUAGUAUUUACAACAGUGCCAAAAAGGCUCAGCUAUGUUCAGGAAGCAUGUGAAGUGUCUGCAAUAAAAAAAACAUUGUCAAACAAGAUUUGGGAACAAUUACAUAGACAGAUAGUGUAAUGUUUAUAUGAUCCCUCCAAACCAGAGCAGCUGCAGUAACCAGACCAGCAACAUAACCAUGCCCCAUGUGACUACGUCUUUCAUCUAGUUGAGAGGCCAGUAGUUUGUUCAUUUUACAUCAGUUCUCACAAUUUAUCAUGCCUACACUGUGAAACAUUUCAACAAUUGUACUUACAUUGUGGCCAAACGUCUUGAACUUCAGAUGAACAAUAUGACAUUGCUUGUUGUUAACUAGAAAUCACUAGCUACCAUGCAAGCAGCUUUGGCUAUUAUGUGUCAUUGCUAUUUUAGAAGUAUUGCAAGUAACUAAAGGUAUGUAAAGGUAAAGCUACAAAAUAACAAUAUUUUAAACUGUCUAGCCACCCUUGAAACUCCCACACAUCUUGUUCGAAAUGGCAGCUCUAUCAAGAUAAUCAUCUGAAUGAAUCUGUUACACCACGACCUAUCAGGCUUGUAAUUAUUCAUUGAGACCCUUCAGGCUAAACCAAAGUAGUGAAUGACCAGGAAGUCACCUUAUUGUCUAUACAACUCAUCAUAUCAGGUCAUAUACUGGCUAAUGCUUCAGGUCAUAUGCUUUUCUUGUUGUAACAUUUGUUAACGUUAGCACCGCUGAGCACAUGAGUAGCAGCAGAUUGCAUAGCUUUUGUCCAAACCAUUUCCUUAUUGUGCAAGAAAUAAUCCUUUAUUCAAUUUAUGUCUGAGGAGGCUUUUUAAAACAUAUUUUCACAAGAUCGGUAGACUGUUCAAGAGUGUUAACUAAUACGACCACUUGGCCCUCUAUGGUCUAGAUUUUCCUUCACGGAUGAAACAUUAGCAGAGCUCACUGCUGAGAAGGGUGUGGCUGUGGCUAUAUCCCUGGGAGAAGGGUACAGCUCCUGACAGAAAGGUAAUGCUGUUGAUACCCUAAUGUCUAGGUCUCAGCACUACCAGACCAUGGACCCCUUGCUCCCCAUUUAUCCCUCUGUCAAUUUGCAGAUCAUGUAAAAUCAAACUGAAAUUGCUGUGAGAAAUGUAUCAAUAUAUUUAAUCCCUGACUGAAAUGACAAGUCAGGUUGGUUUCUCUAAUGAAAUCUUACUCUACAUAAUGAACACAGUGGAAGUCAGCAUUCUCACCAUAGGUAAAGAUCCCAAUGACCUUAUUAUACAUUUUGACUUUGUCAGCUUCCUUUUUUAAUGAACUUAGUGUCAAUGACUAAUGUAAACUAAGGGCAUGAAUAGGAAUAUCAACAGUACACAAAUAGGAUUCAUUACAGGAUUUGGGUCACACUGCUCAUAGACUUAGGGCUCUAUUCAAUCCGCAUCGCAGAAGUUCAGCUUUACAGCGUGAAUUAAAUUUAAAGGCAAUGUUCCCGCCUCAGCGGAGACUGCUUUCACAGUAAACACUGCAUCAAUCAGAAAUUACCUUUACAUUUCUAUUGCGGAAUCUGUAGUGCUUCAGCCUUACAUAUUCAAUAGAGCCCUUAGGCUGUUACUUGUUCAAAAUGUACAAAUCAGGUCACGCUUGAAAAAUGUCUUUCAACAAAGAGAAAUGCUGAACUUUGUCAAGCACCAUGUGUAGGCUACAAUACCCAUUCUGACAUAGCAGUUGUAUUCUGCAAUUGCAUAAAUUAUGUUGACCUGUAGAUGAACAAAGACAUUAAAAAACUUUGUACAGAUUUCCUGUGCAAUGAGUCACCUUCUCUCAUGUAAUUGUUUCCAUAUUAGACCCCACUCACCCCUUCUUGCAAGCACAUCCCUUCCAAAGGAAUACUUGUGUUGUGAUUUGUUUACAAUCACUCUAUCCAAUUCCACCUGCUGACAAGAGGUACCUCAGGGUACAGUGUUGUUACCCUUACUAUUUGUUUACCCACAGCAGAACUCAGACACAUUCUGGAUAUGAACAAAUAGGUGUUUUCCAUAUAUACAGCUAUAGUUACAGAGUGAUCGCUAGAAAUAGACAGGAAUUUCAGAUUCUGAAAAGGUCCCGAGAACAAUUAUAUAUGCCUUCCUCUGUGCUCACCAAAAAAAAUGAAAAACGACUGCCCAGCACUAGGAAUGCACUCUUGAUGCUCAGAGCUGGAGCUCAAUUGCAGGUCACACAGAUAACCACAAAAUACAGAUGGCGAUUUCCAGAAGUUUAAAAAAAGUUCAGAGAACAUUGAUAUAUGCCGCCUUCUGCGCUCACCCAUGAUAUUAAAAAUGAUUGCCCAGCAUUACCUGUACAUAGCCCACCUAUAAUUUAGCCCAAACAACUACCUCUUUCCCUAAUGUAUUUAAUUUAUUUAUUUUGCUCCUUUGCACCCCAUUAUUUUUAUUUCUACUUUGCACAUUCUUCCACUGCAAAUCUACCAUUCCAGUGUUUUACUUGUUAUUUUGUGUUUACUUUGCAACCAUGGCCUUUUUUUUGCCUUUACCUCCCUUCUCACCUCAUUUGCUCACAUCGUAUAUAGACUUGUUUACACUGUAUUAUUGACUGUAUGUUUGUUUUACUCCAUGUGUAACUGUGUCGUUGUUUGUGUCAAACUGCUUUGCUUUAUCUUGGCCAGGUCGCAAUUGUAAAUGAGAACUUGUUCUCAACUUGCCUACCUGGUUAAAUAAAGGUGA